AAGAUACAACAGGACAGGCUUUGAGGACAGAAACCCAGGGUCACGUUCCUGCUCCAUCACUUUCCAUCAGCAUGGUCUCGGGCAAGGGAAUCGUAAGCAGGUAACUGAUCAUCUGGAAACCUGGGGGACAAGAGGGAAGAAAUGACACCUAGGAUGCUCCAUCCUUUCCCUGCAUCCCUUUGUGUUCAGUUCAACAACUUGGUUCUCCUCCUGACCAGCCACUGUGCUUGGCUGAGGACACAAAGGUGAAGGAGACAGUCUAGUAUAAAACAUGACACAGACCAGACCCAAAGGGGAGGAAGAGGUCCUGUAGAAAGGUGAAGGGGCAUCAUUCACCAAGCCUCUCCAGCAUUAACCAGAGACUGCUGGAGGGCAGCGUGAGCCUACGGAAAAGACUCGACAUCCAGGGUUUGGACUUAAAGGCCCUAGUGUGGACUUCUUCAGUGCUCUGAUUCCUUGAAGAUUCUGUUGGCUUGUUCUCAAAACGAACUUAGCUGAAGAGUUUCGUGAGCCGGAAGUGCCUCUGAAAGAAGUGAGCAGAGAGAAGGACGAAGGCGAUGGCAGCAGUUUUCCAGGCUAGCUGUCUUCACAACCCGAUGGCUCUCUUCUUUUCUGCUGCCACAGAGACUGACUGUCUGCCUCCUGCAAAUUUGAAAUUUGGCAAACCUGCCUCCUCUGCUUCUCAGAACCAAACUGGGGCCAGGAGAACUUCUGACCCAAGUGUUGAUCACCUCUCUUCCUGCACCUCACUGUGCACCCUCUGCUCAGGAAAUGCCUUUGGCGUGUUGCUGACGUCUGUCCCUGCUCCAUCUCUUACCACCCUGCACUUCACCCUUUCCCACACAGGUUUCACCUGAUCUCAGCUGCUUUGGGCAGACCAUCCAGGUAUUUUGGAGUCUGAAAAGGAUCUCUGUCUCUAAGUCUGGUGCAAAUGGAGUUUGGGGGUUUUAAAAUUCAUUCUUCUUGCUGCUGUUUCACAAUUUCUCAGAAAAGGUGAAAAUGCAGACUUUGGCAGUUAUGUUCAAUAUGAAAAGUCUUAAUAAAGUAAUUUUUGACCUAAAGCCCACCAGUAUUUCUGGAACAAUUCAGUCAAUCUUUGAACUUGGUCACAUAAAGUCUUAUUAGAAACACAACGGG
rnacentral:lncRNA from 1 species